rnacentral:rRNA from 1 species
ACUCAAAGGAAUUGACGGGGGCCCGCACAAGCGGUGGAGCAUGUGGUUUAAUUCGACGCAACGCGAAGAACCUUACCUACUCUUGACAUCCUAAGAAGGCUGAAGAGAUUCAGCGGUGCCGAAAGGAACUUAGAGACAGGUGCUGCAUGGCUGUCGUCAGCUCGUGUUGUGAGAUGUUGGGUUAAGUCCCGUAACGAGCGCAACCCUUAUCCUUAGUUGCCAGCACGUCAUGGUGGGGACUCUAAGGAGACUGCUGGUGAAGAACCGGAGGAAGGCGGGGACGACGUCAAGUCAUCAUGGCCUUAAUGAGUAGGGCUACACACGUGCUACAAUGGGUCGUACAGAGGGCAGCGAAACUGAGAAGUGGAGCCAAUCCCGAAAAGCGACUCGUAGUCCGGAUUGAAGUCUGCAACUCGACUUCAUGAAGUCGGAAUCGCUAGUAAUCGCGAAUCAGAACGUCGCGGUGAAUACGUUCCCGGGCCUUGCACACACCGCCCGU